AUUAUCUGUGGAUUUGGAAGUAUUCUGAAGUAACUUGGAAUAUGUAAAAAAAUGAGUUUUUUACAAUGAUAUUUCCUACAGUAUAUAUGAUACAUAAAUAUAUAAUGGUUUCACACAACUGGAUUUUCCACAUAGCAUAGGUUUCAGUUAUAUUAGUUCCAGCUUGUCAUUUUUAGUAUUUCUCUCAAAUCAACUGUAAACACCUCAUGCUUAAAGUUGUUUUUAUCCUAAACAAACAUAUUUCUUCAUCCAUUGAAGAUAGGUUUGCUGAAAUUAUUUGCAACUCACUUUUACUGUAUAUCCAUUUUUACUAGCUAUUUACUUGUAUUGAAACAUUACUAUCUGGAGUAGUGCAGUGUGUGCUUCUUUUCUGCUCCUGGGCGGCAACACCCGCGUUGAAGCUAUUUAUCAAAUAUCUGGAAAGAACAAGUUCAUCUCAGUUAUAGCAGACAGUUCUGCAAUGAGCAAGAGGCACUCGAUGGUCAGAGCGAGAGUUCCUUUUCAAACCUGAACGCAGUUUCAGAGUGCAGAGAGAUUGGCUAUGGCUGUCACAUAUACCUUGAUAGCCGUCACACAUACAUUGAUAGGUAUUUACAGCAGUCUGAAUUUCAAUUUUAUCUUAUUAUUCUAUCAACAUAUUUAUUCAGUGUCCUCCUUUGGAAGCAGUAGCUGUAAAUGACCAAAGUAGCACUUACUAUCCAUGUCCAUUGAGAAAUCAACAGUAGCGAUUUCUGUUAGCAGUGGCCUUGUACACGACCUUUUCCUACUGUAUGUUUUUGCUAGCGGUGGCUGUACACAACUUUUUUAUACUGUAUGUUUCUUCUAGCAGUGGCUAUACGCAAUUAAUUUCCUCUGUACGUUUCUGAAGGUUACUUGUUUUGCCCUUUUUUAUGAAACAAAUUCAUGUUAAAAACUGGCGUUCAA